rnacentral:lncRNA from 1 species
GAGGUUGCAGACUGGCCAAUGAAGAUCUCAUCAUCAAACACAGGAUGGCAGCUCCAGAUUCUCCAUGGAUAUCUGGAAGCUGGAGACCUGCCUUCAAGCACAAGUAUCAGGAUUUAUGGGCUCAGGGUCAGAAACACCCUGGAAUCCGGAGCACCAGUCUCCCGGACUCAUCCAAGCGCAGCAACAGUCGGGACUGCUCUGUUCCCAUGGUGACAGACAGCUGUGGCGUCUACGGGACCUUUUACGUUGACCUCGCAGGCAGCAGUCUCCAGACCUUCAACAGUCCUGGACGUUCUCCUAAAAUGCCUCACGGUCUGCCUCUCCAACAAGGACAAGAGAGCAUUCAGAUAUUCCCUCAGUCUCUCUCCAGCUCCUCACCUGCCAGCAGUCGCGAGUCUCUGCCGUGGAAGCACGCCGUCCGCCCUCAGCCGAAGAUGGGUGUGCUGAGGGAGUGCUGGGAGAAGAAACCCAGCAAGCAAGGCGAGUCACGGAGGAUGGCGAAACUUGUCUGAUGGGUUCGUCUUGUAUUCGUAGCGGUCAAAUCAGUGAAACACGUGCAAAUGGUUUUAUUUCCUCCUCAGAGUUACAUGCAGUCAACAGUGUUCCUGUGCUACCAUCCAGGAGUCAGGCGUGUGUCUACAAGCAGCGACUCAGCCACACACCGGGGCCCGACUGCUGUAAAGCUGCUGGCGGCUCUCGCCUGCUGCAUUGUUCUGCAUCGCUGCACUUCCUGGACAUGCUGCCCCCUCCACCGGCGGAGGACAAACACAGCCUCUCUUCAGAUGAAGGGUUCAGUCACUCCACUAAGCUGACAGAAGAUGCAGGCUCGGUCCGGUCCGUUUGUCCUGCACCGGGCCUUUACCAACCAGCAGGACCGACCAGCAGCUGCCCCUCCCUCAGCCCCCGGUCAGCUGCAUCCCGCUCCAUGUCGCUGGACAAUGACACAGAUGGGACUCUGACGUCCCAGGAGGCCACUGUGUAUCUAGAACUGAGUCCCAAACCAGAAAGACGGAGUGUUCUCCCAGAGCCGCGCCCUUCCCUGUCUCAGUACCGCUCCUCUGGCCUGGGCAGCUUCUGUGGGCCGGUCUGUUCCUCUCUCCUGGAGGAGAGCUCCGCCGACAAGCUGGAGUUCUUACCCAUCGCUCUGCGUCGCGCCCGCCUUCAGAGCUCCCCGUCGUCCUGCUACAGCGAGUGGGACGGCUCUCUGUGGAACACCUGGAGCUCCGUGACGGACAGCAACCUGGACAGCGCCCGCACCAGCCUCAUCAGCUCAGUGGACAGCUGCUACACCACGGACAGCGCCACCUUCGCCCACAUGCUGGCCAUGGCAGCAGAGAGCAGGAGCGGAGACCUCUCGCCGCCGGGCUCCCCCCUCAGUGCCUUGCAGUGUGGGGACAGCGACUCCUUCGGGGAGCCUGUCCCGGUGUGGGACUGGAGCGUAGCCUGGAUGGAGGAAAUGGAGGCCCAGUACAGAGCCCUGUAUCCUGCCAGAUUCCCCUCUGAGACCUAGAGGCUCUGAUGGAACAGAAACAAAAGCGUCCCGUGAACUUCAAAAGACCUGAGAGGGAGUUCAGCCACGCUGCAACACUUCAGUUCGGAACAGUUUCACUUUUGAGACAUUUGUGUGCUCAUCUGAUCCUGAAGUUUCAAUUCACCUCUGAUCUUAAAAAUGAUUCUGUCUCCUCGUUAGUCUCCCUCUCUAUUUUUUUUUGUUUUUUAUGUAGACAGUGAUCCUCCCCUCCGGACGCAGCUCAGUCAGACACGUGAAACCCAAUCCUCACAUCACGUCUCGGUUUGAUCUCCGUUUGUUAAUUUAUGGACUUUUCUUUUGGACUCGGGUCCCAGCAGGUUUUGUGGUUUUGUAUCAGUCAAAUAUAAUAUAUAUGCAACAAAUUCAAGAAAUGUUAUUUAAUGACUUUUUUUUUUAGAAAAUGUUCCAAAUUCUUGCCUGUCCUCCGUUCUCAUGUGAAGGGUAAUGUUUACAUUUUAUACAUUUUCUGUUAUUACAGGAUUAUUGUACACUAACAUUUUUUAAUAUUCUGAUUAUUCUGUAGUUAGCCCUAUUAGAAUGAAUAUAAAUAUAUAUAUAAUGCUGGAAAUUGUAACCCUUAAAUAUUUACAAUUUGAAUUAUUUAACCCAGAUUUGUUUAGUUUGUGUAUUUCUACUUUUUAUUUUCCUAAUUGUUAAAUUAAAAUUUUCUAAGAUUAAACUUGAUUUUUGAGUGUGGAGUAAGAAUAAACGUGACUGGGUUAAGGUAAUAAUUACAGACAUAAAGACGUGGAUGAUGUUUAAGAAAGUUUAAUUUAACUCUAUUUUUAUCUGAGUUUAAAGCUGUUUCAACAUUCGGUUUGUAUUAAAUUCAUUAUAGUCGCACCACUUCACACCUAACACGCUGCUGCGUUACUCUGACCCGCCCACGCAGAUCCCUCUGCAGACUUUAUAAACUCAAACAAGAAACAGGAAAUAUCUCAUUUUGCAUUAAAACAAAAAUAAUUCAGGGUUCUGCUUAAUUUAUUCUCAAAUUUUAUUUUUCUUAAGAAAAACCAUAAACUCCCACGGUAAAAUCCAGCUUCAUAUUUUUCUUUUUGAUCAUCUGCUGCCCAUCUUUAAUAGUGCUGGACAGCUUUUCAAAAGAAAACUUCUUGC